rnacentral:lncRNA from 1 species
CUUAAAUAAUUAACAAGAAGAGGUUUGUCCUUUUAAAGGUCCCUGUCACUGAUACUUGCCUAUAAGAAGGUCUUAGAAAUGGACCUUUCUUAAAACACACUGUUACCACUUGGAUUCAUCACAUUUUUGGGGCAGUUUUAACAUGGCAACUGCAGAAGUCACAGACACUUGAGUAAAUGGUAUUCCUCACAGGUGGACCAAGAAGAGAGGAAUAACUUCUUAAAGUGUUCUGUAAACAAUAAUCACCUUUUUAGAGUUGUGGGACUUUAAAAAGAUGCUUAGGACAUCAUAUUGCCCAUGUUCUGAAAGAGGAGCAGCAGCAGAACUGGGUAACAUUUGCAGCACAGUGUCUGGGCCACCACAGAUUCUUCAUUUGCAGCACCAAAUCAAGUCCCAUGUGUCAAGCCCCUUGCUUUGGAACUCCAGUGACAGAAGAUUAUUUUUGUGACUAUGGAGCUUAUGACAAAAUCAGUCCUUGAAUUCUUUGCUGGUAAGUUUUUCUCUUCAUUGUUCUUAGACAAAAGACAAAAAAUAGUGAAAAAGUAAAGUUUUUCCAGCUACACACACACAUAAAGGCAUGAUUUGGAAAGCUAAAUUUGCCAAUUAUUUUGAGGGUUUGUGGCUCUUAGUAAAUGAUUUGACAGAUUGGGCUGGAAUCAAUUUCAGAAGCCAUAUAAAAAAAAAAUUGAGACUUUGUGCAGGAAGAUCAUUGAAUCACAGAAUGUGUUGAAUUGGACAGGAGACUCAAGGAUCCUUGAGUCCAACUCCCAGCCCUGCACAGGACAGCUCCAAGAAUCACACCAUGUACCUGAGAGCAUUGUGCAAACAUUUCUUGAACUCUGUCUGUGUGUUUGUGCUGGGAUUACUUCCCUGGGGAGCCUGUUCCAGUGACCAGCCACCCUCUGGGUGAAGAACCUUUGCCUAAUUUCCAACCUAAACCUCCCCUGAGACAACAUCAGGCCAUUCCCUCGUGUCCUGUCACUGGGCACCACAGAGAAGAGAUCAGUGCCUGCCCCUCUGUGUACCCUCAUCAGAAAGUUUUAACCACUUCUCCAGGCUGAACAGACCAAGUGAUUUCAGCUGCUUCUCAUACAGCUGCUCCUUAAGGUCCUUCACUGUCUUCAUUGCCCUCCUUUGGAUGCUCUCUGAUAAUACCUUUCUUAUGUCGUGGCACCAAAAUGACACACAAUAUUCAAGGUGAAGCUGUACCAGUGCAGACCAGAGAGGGACAAGAUCUUUUAAAACAUGGGGGUGUUAUUAAUUUGAAUAUUUUUUAUCUCUGAGGUCAAAAUAUUUGGUAUACUUUUGACAAUUGAAGAGAUGGGGUUGUGAAAUAUCACUGGUAAUGUACCUUGAGAAAGUCAGUAGAGUAACUUUUCAGGAGCAAAGUGGAGGCAGAUCUUAUAAGAUUGCAGCACAUACCAGUGACAACCAGAGCUGCUCUGCUU